GAGUUUGAUCUUGGCUCAGAUUGAACGCUGGCGGCAUGCCUAACACAUGCAAGUCGAACGGUAACGCGGGGGCAACCCUGGCGACGAGUGGCGGACGGGUGAGUAAUACGUAGGAAUCUGCCCAUUAGUGGGGGACAACCCGGCGAAAGCCGGGCUAAUACCGCAUACGCUCUACGGAGGAAAAACGGGGGAUCGUAAGACCUCGUGCUAAUGGAUGAGCCUACGUCGGAUUAGCUAGUUGGUAGGGUAACGGCCUACCAAGGCGACGAUCCGUAGCUGGUCUGAGAGGACGAUCAGCCACACUGGGACUGAGACACGGCCCAGACUCCUACGGGAGGCAGCAGUGGGGAAUAUUGGACAAUGGGGGCAACCCUGAUCCAGCAAUGCCGCGUGUGUGAAGAAGGCCUGCGGGUUGUAAAGCACUUUCAGAGGGGAAGAAAAAAUUU
rnacentral:rRNA from 1 species